GUGUGUGUGUGUGUGUGUGUAUCUUCGAUGAGUUCUGAAAUUGUGGGAACGGAAGUAAGGUUGAUUUUCUAUUUUCUUUUUUAAUAUUAUAGGUUUAACAGAGAACUGAUUAGCAUCUGUGAAUUUCUGAUAUGCUAUUGUUCUUUAGCAGAUAUGCUUCUGCAUCCCUUAAAUGUUGUAUUUGUAUUUUGUGCAGUUUCAUGGUUUGGCUAUAGUUCUUUCUUUGUUUUACGGAAUGUAAUAAAUUAGGAGUGGCAUUGUUGUUGCAUGACUAUGAAAUGGAUAAAUUUCUCUUAUACAUGGAAUUUGUAUUUAAAUCGAAGUUAACUGUAGCUAUUCUUAUUUUUAAUACAUUUAUAAUAUUCCAUGAACCAAACGAAAGAUUAUGCUUUAUGUUUUCUGAUUUCAGAAUCUUUAUCUCAGUUCCUAUAUCUAAGAAAAGUACACAAGUGAAAUAACUAUUUCCUAAUGAACAAAACUGAUUCUUUUAUUGUUGUCCUUUGUUAUUGUGCAGUUUCAGUUUCUGCACAAAUGA
rnacentral:misc_RNA from 1 species